GACCCUCUUCUUCUCCCCCGUCCGCCUGCCUGCUUGCCCCUCUCUCCCUCUCUCGCCUCUCUCUGUGUCGAGAUCUGGCACACACACGGUCUUGCUCUCUUAACUCCCAGAUCUUUGUUUUCGGUGGUGGCAGCCAGAAAGAGGAAGAGAGCGCUGUGCUCUCACUUCCCACUGGCUUCCUUUAUUGAAGGGAGAGAAAAAAAAUCCCCCAACUCUCUCUCUCUCCUCUUCCAACUUUUGCUCCAGUUAUUCGCUUCUCAGCCUUACUGGCAGCCUUUGCAGAAAAACCUACUCUCCAGCCUUGGACUUUUGUUUUUCCUUAAGAUGAAGGAUGCAAGAAGAAUGAAGUACAACAUCUUUUACAGCCCAAGAGUCAUAAAGGAACAGGUAGUCAUUUCAAUCCGUAUCUUGGUAAUUCUAAGACAGGUAAACAUCCUAUUUUUCACCAAAUUCAGUGCAAAACAUAUAUGUAGACAGAACCCCUAUGGUUUGCAGCUUUUGAACAGAUGCUCGUAUUUCAUGCAAUUGCUCAUACAUUCAGUUGUUAUCCACUUUGUCUCUGUGACAGAUAUUGCAAGCAAAAUAGAUAUCUUUAUUUAGAUAUAAGUACCAACCAGGCACAUAAUGAUACAAUUGUGCAAAAUUUCCAAAGUAAGACAGAAAUGAAUGGUAGAAACAAACCAAUCCCAGAAGCAUCUGGUGAUGGUCGAUAGAGCCACUCAACAGUAGUAGAUGCAAGAUGUGCUUCUAAUUCAGGGCCAGUGAAAAGCAGAGUAAAGUAAGGCGAUAUUGGAGAAAAAUGUUGUAAAUAAGCAAAGAGAAAAUUUAUUUACUUUUUGCUUAUUUACAACAUGCUUAGUUUUUUCUCCAAUAUUGCCUAGUACUUCACUGCUCCCCUGCAUUGGUCCUGAGUUAUAAGAAUAUCUUGUGUAAAAAACUUACUCUUUGUUUAUUUACAACAUUCCACAGUUUUUCUCCAAUAAGUAAAUAAAAAGCCUGAUGGAUUUAAUGGUUUGCUUGUUGAACUAGGACUCUGGAAAAUAGGGUCUGAAUCCCUGCUCAUCCAUGAAAAUCCACUUAGUGACCUUAGGUGAAUCAUACUCUCUCAACUUCAGAGGAAUAUAAUAGAAAACGCCUCCUCUAAACAAAUCUUGUAGAGAAAACCCUGUGAUAGGUUCAACUUCGGAUCUCCUUAUUUUGGAAACAACUUGAAGGCAAACAACAACAGCAGCAGCAGCAGCAAUACUUUAGAAAGUAAGAGUAGCUAGAGCCAGGGUUUGAAAUCCUCCUCAGACAUGGAAACCCACUGGGUGCCCUUGAACAAGUCAUACCCUCUCAGCCUCAGAAGGAGGCAAUGGCAGACUCCACUUUGAACAAAUCCUACCCAAAAAACCUCCACGAUAGGUUCAUCUGACAACUACCACACAACACACACAACAACUACAAAGUAAAAAUAAAUCAUUGUUUGUUCCUUGACAAUUUAGCUCAGAAGCCUGACCAGAAUUGUCAUUUCCAAGUUAUGCAAACUCAGAGCAUUUAUUGUUUUGCAACUCAGACAUGUUACUUCAGUCAGGUUACUUCACCUUCAAUGAAAAUACUCCUCCUUGGCUUGCAGAACAAGCUUUUAUUUCAUAUGUCUUUAACCAAGCCUGUUCCCAUAGACUCAGGGUGGUGCUGUAAUUCUGAAGGUGAAAACAUGGAAUGGCAAUGUAUUGAUGUGGAUAAUAAAAAAAUUUCCCCACUGUACAUAUUAGUGGAAGAUUUUGGUUAGGAUAAAAUUCCUUUUUUCUUUUCUCCAUCAGACAUAUAGAGAAAAUCUGCCCUAUUACAAGGUAGUAGUUAUGUGAUGAUCCCCCCCCCCAUAAAAGUCUACAGCAGAGUAAUUAUAGACUCAAUAAUUUUUUUAACAUAGUUCUCUGAGCAAAUGAAAUAUUUCAAGAUAUAUAAGCAUGAUGGUGGUGUAAUCACCUGCAUUAUCUGAUUAAUCUAUUGAUUUCUAUGUUCUAUUAUAUUUACAUUAUUCUGUUUCCCCUAGAUUGCAUUCCAUGUGAUUAAGUUCUAAAAUCUGGGAAUUCACAGAAAUAAUUUUGUGAUUUGUUCUGAUAGCCUCACAAUGAAAACUACUGAUUUGCUUAAUUCAAAGCAAAUACAAAUGCAGACAUGUAUAACUCAAAAGUAGAAAGUGCAUAUUUUUCAAAUUGAGCAAGUCUCAAACUCAGUUGCUGCCAUGAAAUUGGUGCACAUGCAAACUAUCACACAUGUUUGCCUAUAUUCAUGCUUUUGGGGUAAGAAUAACCCAGGCAAUGAAUUCUACCAAUGAGAUUAAUAAUAAUUAAAUAUUCUUUUACUAAUGUAACAAUGUAUUUUCUUUUCACAGGACUGUUAGUCCAGAACUAUUUCGCAUAGAUAUAUAAACAAUCAUGACAAUGAUUAAAGAAAAUUCUUUUCAUAUCAAUUUAUAUAAAUAAAUGAAGCAACCUUCUUAAAACAAAGUAUUUGAUCUUUUGGGUUAAUUUAACAAUCAAAUAGCUGAGUUUUUGUAAGCAGCUCAUGGAAUUUUUUUAAUGAAGAUCAGAAUGCUCUGUCUGCCCAAUACAUUAAAACUGUGACUCUAGAAGAUUUUAUAUCUAUUAUCACAUAUUUCUUGUAUUGUAUUUUUUCACAGAACAGAUGAUUAUAUAAGUUUUAGAAACUGUAUACAAGAAGUUGUUAACAUAAACCCUAAAAUAAACCCAACAGUUUGUAACUAUGUGAUAAUUUUAUUUUCAACUGAAAUCUGAUAUUUAAAAACACAUACCUUUGCCCCCACACCAAGCAACCUCUUGGUGUUGAUACAUGUUUAAAAUGUAGUUUAAGGGAAUAGUUUGUUUAGAAUAGAAAUUAAACUUCAUUUGUUGGACUAAAUAUAUAUAAAUGACUGAAUCUACAGUAUGUGGUUGUGCAUAGAAUAGAAUCAUGUUUAAAGUGUAAACCAUAAAAGGUUUAAAUAACUUAUUUUUAUCUCCUUCUCAUCAGCAAGAAUUGUGUUUCUUUUAGGUUCCUCUGGGAUGGACUACGCUCUUGUUUUAAGUUUCUCUUCUCAGAGAAGAGGAUGGUUCCUGAUUUGAGAAGAGUUAAGAUAUACCGAAGUAUUUAAAUUAACCAAAGAAAAAGUCUACAGAGUUUUGGGAGGUUGACUUUCUGACUAAAAUUUCUAAACUUAUAUAUGAGUAUAUAGGGUUCUGAAUAUCAUAUACAGUAGAGUCUCACUUAUCCAACACUCGCUUAUCCAAUGUUCUGGAUUAUCCAAUGCAUUUUUGUAGUCAAUGUUUUCAAUACUUCGUGAUAUUUUGGUGUUAAAUUUGUAAAUACAGUAAUUACUAUGUAGUAUUACUGCAUAUUGAACUACUUUUUCUGUCAAAUUUGUUGUAUAACAUGUUUUGGUGCUUAAUUUGUAAAAUCAUAACCUAAUUUGAUGUUUAAUAGGCUUCUCCUUAAGCUCUCCUUAUUAUCCAACAUAUUCACUUAUCCAACGUUCUGCCGGCCCGUUUAUGUUGGAUAAGUGAGACUCUACUGUACUUACAUCUGGAAAAGCAAAAAGGAUAAGAUGUGACAUAUUGCAUAUUUUACUACCCACUGUAUGGCAGUAUUUGACAUUUGAGAGUUUCAUGGUGCUUAUCUAAAUAAUCUUCCAAUAACUUUGUACCUUAAAGGAUUAUGCCUGCUUUUAGGACUUGGAGGAGACUGUGUCUGAAUUAUGCAAGUUUUCUCCAAGUUAAAGAGUUGAUUUAAUCUAUGAUCUGAAGAAUAAUAAAAAAUUGGAUAAACCUCAUUGAUUUCAAUAAAUGUGUUCAUGGCCAGGGAGCCAGUUGUUAUGUUUGUCUGUGCAUGAUCAACAACAUUAAUGGUAUUGCUUCAUAAAGUGUCUUCAGAGAGGAAUUAUGCCAAACUUCUUAUUGUAGCCCACCAUGCACCCUUGAUAUCUGGGAUGCAGGGGGAAAUUGGGGGAAAAGUUAUGUCAUACUACUGAAUUAAUCUAUCAUGUUUUGGGUCCAUAUUUGCUUUAUAGCAAUGUUUGUGGCUUUCCAGAACUUCGGGAGAGGGGAAAGGCAUGAAAAAUAAAAGCAUAUGUUUGGUUUCAUAUCAUCCUGAAACUAUCUCAAGCUUUGCUACACAGCACAUGUUCUUAUAUCUAUAUAUCUUUAAUGAGAUAUCUAACAGCCUUUAUCUCUGGCUCUGUUAGGAACCAAGCAAUUGAAUGAUUCUAUCAAGUGAAUUAAUGGGAAAAAGAAAUUAAACCUGAAUUCUGAUGAGAUGGUGGAGAUCUGAGGAGAUGGUGGAGAUCAAUGGUCUGAAAGGAAUCAGCUUGCCUAUACCUGAUGGGGUCUCUUGGUUACCACAUCUGAUUUGAUAAAGAACCUUGGGAACCAUCUUGAACUUGAUGCUGCUCUUUAAGAAGCAGGUUAAAUGCUAAGAGUGCCUUUUCUCAUCUUAGCAAAGGAGCAUUUUCUAUGUUUAGAUAGAUGACAGGUUAUAGCACAAUUUCCUGUGUGCUAUACAUGAUCCUACUAUUAAAGAUGAUGAUGUUUAUGAUGGUGUUGAACACCUUCUUACAAUUUCUAGGAGGUAGGCUGGACAUACUUUUAGUUUAUUUUGUUCCCAAGCCAAAAACAAAAUUCUUGUUUUAAUUUUUAAAGAUCAUGUAGCAAUGAAGACAUUGUUGAAAUGCGUGCUUUUAUGAUACACAGUAAUGCAUGUCCCAUGUUUUUGUCAUUGCAGAGGCAGGAAUUGAUUGCUUUCUAAACUUUCCUUUCUCCUGUGCUUUGUUCAUGGUUAUUUAAUGGCUGGUGGAGAAUGAAGAACAUCUAGAUAAGCAGAAUGCACAAUGAUAAGGUCUCUGGACCAUUUUUAAACAUCUUUCAGUUAUAUUGUCAUGGUGCGACGGGCUACUGUUCAUCAUUUGUCAUCUGGAGUCACCAGGCCAAUUGGAGAAGGGAAAGGAGGAAAGAUUCCUCUUCUUCCCCCAUCUGCAUUUCUCUGUUUGGCCAAUGAGUGCCAAGUGAAGGACACUAGUUAUAUUGCUGCUUUAGAAAUCAGAAAGUUAAGAAGGUGGGGCGCUGAGGAUUAAUGACUCUGGACAGUUGGAGGAUAUGUAAUAAACUGAUUCUGCGAUCAACAUUAGUAGAAAUAUGGAGAUAUGCAUGAUGAAAAAGUCUUACACGAGUUUCUGUUGCUAAACAAAGUUGCCUGUUUUAAGAGUCAACAGACAGAGUCAAUAUUGUGUCUUUUUCAUCUUUAUGAUCCAUCUUAAAUCUGGUCAUCUACUAAAUAUGUAAAUAAAAAAACCUUAGACCCUG